CGGCUCACCAAGGCUACUAUACCUAGCCGACCUGAGAGGGUGAUCGGCCACACUGGUACUGAUACACCGCCCCUACUCCUACGGUAGGAACCAGUAUGGAAUCUUCGGGAAUGGAUGGAAGACUGACCGAGCAACGCCGCGUGAGUGAAGAAGGUUUUCUGAUCCUAAAGUUCUGUUGUAAGAGAAGAACAGGUGUGAGAGUGGAAAGUUCACACUGUGACGGUAUCUUACCCUAUAGGGACAGCUAACUACGUGCCAGCAGGCCGCGGUAAUACGUACGUCCCGAGCGUUGACCUGAUUUAUUGGCUAUACCGCGAGCGCAGGCGGCUAGAUAAUUCUGAAGAUUAAAGGCUGCGGCUUAACCACUACUACGCUUUGAAAGACUGUUUAACUUGAGUGCAAGAGGGGAGAGUGGAAUUCCAUGUGUAGCGGUGACAUGCGUAGAUAUAUGGAGGAACACCGGUGGUGAAAGCGUCUCUCUGGCUUGUAACUGACGCUGAGGCUCGAAAGCGUGGGGAGCAAACAGGAUUAGAUACCGUGGUAGUCCACGCAGUAAACGAUGAGUGCUAGGUGUUAGAACCUUUCCGGGGUUUAGUGCCGCAGAUAAUGCAUUAAGCACUCAGCGUGGGGAGUACGACCGCAAGGUUGAAACUCAAAGGAAUGUACGGGGGCCCGCACAAGCGGUGGAGCAUGUGGUUUAAUUAGAAGCAACGCGAAGAGCCUUACCAGGUCUUGACAUCCGUAUGACCGCUCUAGAGAUAGAGAAUUUCCUUCGGGACAGAGGUGACAGGUGGUGCAUGGUUGUUGUCAUCUUGUGUCGUGAGAUGUUGGUUUAAGUCCCGUAAUGAGUGCAACCCCUAUUGUUAGUUACCAUCAUUCAGUUGGGCAAUGUAUCGAGACUGCCGGUAAUAAUCCGGAUGAAGGUGGGGAUGAAGUCAAAUCAUCAUGCCCCUUAUUAUCUGGUCUACACACGUUCUUCAAUGGGUGGUACAAGUGAGUUGCAAGCCGGUGAUGGCAAGCUAAUCUCUUAAAGCCAGUCUCAGUUAUGGAUUGUAGGAUGCAAAUAUCAUACAAGAAGUUGGAAUCGGUAGUAAUCGCGGAUCAGCACGACGCGGAGAAUACGUUCCCGGGCCUUGUACACACCGCCCGUCACACCACGAGAGUUUGUAACACCCGAAGUCGGUGAGGUAACUGAAAGGAGCCAGCCGCUUAAGGUGGGAUAG
rnacentral:rRNA from 1 species